GCCAACCGGACCCUGGAACAUGGAUUAAGAGACGGAGGUACCUUUCUGCCACCUCCCUGCUGCAUCCAGACACUCCUGAACUUUUCCUGGAAAGCAACUAGGCAUCUUUAAAAUAGAGAUUUUCUGGGCUCAAACCCUGAAUGAGGUCGACUGACACGAUGCAGACGAAGGUGAAGAAGCAGCUUUGCAUCCCAACCAGAUGGUUCAAGUCCCUUAAUGAACUGAAUGACUGGGAAUCCAUGGGAAAUGUGAGCCUUUUGAAGUUUAAACGAGAUUGAUCAUCUCAUCAAACCUGGUGCACCAAGAACCUUUGCGAAGCACAAGAACUGGUCACAGAACAUUUUAAGCUCUUGGUAACUGGACCUAAGAGUU